AUGUAUCGUUUCCGAUCACAGCUCUUCACGGGGAUCUCUGCUGCCGCCACUGCCCACUCUUAUCCUCGCCGCUUCUCGCCUCUGUUGUUAACCGAAGACUCGUCUCUCAGCCGGCCGCCGCACAGACGCACAAGUAAAAAGUGCAGCUCCAUCGGCUGA